rnacentral:rRNA from 1 species
GACGAACGCUGGCGGCGUGCUUAACACAUGCAAGUCGAACGAAGUGGCGAACGGGUGAGUAACGCGUAAUCAACCUGCCCUUCAGAGGGGGACAACAGUUGGAAACGACUGCUAAUACCGCAUACUGAAGGAGGGGCUUGCGACUGAUUAGCUAGUUGGAGGGGUUACGGCCCACAAAGGCGAUGAUCAGUAGGCGGUCCGAGAGGGUGAACGGGGCCAUUUGGAAUGGAGCCCGGCCCAAGCUCCUACGGGGGGCAGCAGUGUGGAAUGUUCCGACAUGGGCAAAAGUCUGACGGGGCAACGCCCCGUGAGUGAUGACGGCCUUCGGGUUGUAAAGCUCUGUUAAUCGGGACGCGGUACCGGAAUAAGAAGCCGCGGCUAACUCCGUGCCAGCAGCCGCGGUAAUUC